rnacentral:lncRNA from 1 species
UACACGAUCGUCUCAAUCCCCCAAUGAGGGCUAACUCACCAGAAUACAGGAUUCAGACAUAUGAUCGGCCUUCACAUUACCCCGGAGGGCCUUCAAGAAUCAUGAUCACCUCAAGCCCCCACACGAGGGUUAACUCGGCAGAUAGCAGGAUUGAGGAUUGUAGAUCAUGCCCGGAUGAGCCCGGGAACUAUCAGAUGAGCCUGAUAACUACCAAAUGAGCUUGGUAACUGGUCUUCAUAUCCCUCGGAAGGGUCGUCACGGAGACUCAC